GGGUCAUUUACUAAGCUGUCUGUUUUAGCAGCUCACUGUCAGACCACUACGGCUAGCAGCACUGAUUUUCUAAAGGAUUCCCUGCUUGCUACCCUAGCAAGAGAGAUUUCGGAAUACAUUUUUCUUUCAUCACCUUUGAGGAUGGACAACCUUCGGCUUCAAAUGACUCAAAAUACCUACAGGGAUUCUGAACAAUGACUAUCUUAUAAAGAAUAAAAUGAUCGCAGCAAAUUCCAAGGACAUCCAAGGAACUCAAAGUGAUCCGAUCAUGUUUCCAGCUAUAAGACCUUUGGAAGGAGCCACAGGAAGAGAGGGAAGCACAUUAAUUUUCUGUUUUUAUGUUCAACAAACAGAGCAGACUCUGAAAAGCGGCACUGUCCAGUCAAAAGUGUCAAGAGGUUUAUUUUUGUUCAAACCUGUAACAGGGUUGAAUUUGGGACUCUGUGUUUGGCUUUUCAGCCUGUAGUUACACUGUGUAAACAGUUUAUUUAACAUCAUUUUUGGCACUUCUUCAGUAAACCCACCAUAAUAAUCCUACUGGCAGACCAAACAGAUCACAGAUUAGCUGACAAAGCUGCUGUAAAACACCAAAUUACCCAUCCCCUGCUUUCCUGUUUUGUGAGAUGUAAAGUCCUGUACUUAGCUGUGUUUAUGCCUCAUUUCAUAGCUGCGCCAGUGGGUCACAGAGCUAUUCCUAUUGAUGUGUUGCUUUGGAAUUGCUACAUGGAAGGAGAAGCAGAGAAGGAUUUUUUUCAGGCCUUUUAGAAGCUUAUAAAAUGUGCUGGGGUGCUGGCUGUUGUUUAACAGAGAAGGUAUGUGGCUUGAUCCAGACUGGAAAAGACUGUAAUGCUAAAGUCACCUAUUGCUUACAUUUCAUUUUAAUGUGCUUGAGUUCAAUAAAAGUUUAUCAUCUCCAUUAAAAUGGUGCCUAUUGGAACUGAUUUAAUCUUGUUAGCACAGAAACCACAUGAAAGAAAUCAAGUUCACAGACAAGACUGAGCACAGUUACUUUUGGAGCAUAAAUUACAUAAAAGCAAUGGAGGAUCAAGCAGAGCCACAGUGCCUGUCACCUGCAUUAUUAGCAUAUUUAUGCCAAUGUACUUUGCUAUGGAAGGGUUUGGUUGUGAGCCAUAUCGCAGCAGGACUGAGAGCCUGCCAAGCACAGGAGUAAUCAGCUGCUUAAUGUCACAGCAUCAACACUCUCCUGCAGAGACUAUGAAUUGUGUUACAUUUGAACAAACAAAUGUCAUGUGUGA